rnacentral:rRNA from 1 species
UACGAAGGGUGCAAACGUUGCUCGGAAUCAUUGGGCGUAAAGCGCACGUAGGCGGCCUCAAAAGUCGGAUGUGAAAUCCCGUGGCUCAACCAUGGACGUGCAUUCGAAACUGCGAGGCUUGAGUAUGGAAGAGGGUCGCGGAAUUCCCGGUGUAGAGGUGAAAUUCGUAGAUAUCGUAAGGAAGACCAGUGGCGAAGGCGGGUCUCUGGACAGUUCCUGACGCUGAGGCACGAAGGCCAGGGGAGCAAACG